UCUCCUGUAGCUCAGUGGUAGAGCAUCUGGCGAUCGGUGUGUGGAAGGUGAUAGGUUCGACUCCUGUUGGGAGAA